UACGAAGGGUGCAAGCGUUAAUCGGAAUUACUGGGCGUAAAGCGUGCGUAGGCGGUCUUUUAAGUCCGAUGUGAAAGCCCUGGGCUCAACCUGGGAAUGGCACUGGAUACUGGAAGGCUAGAGUACGGUAGAGGAGGGUGGAAUUCCCGGUGUAGCGGUGAAAUGCGUAGAGAUCGGGAGGAACAUCAGUGGCGAAGGCGGUCGACUGGGCCAGAACUGACGCUGAGGCGCGACAGCGUGGGGAGCAAACGAGGA
rnacentral:rRNA from 1 species